UGGAGCUGGUAAUAAUAUACUAGUUUGUGCCUAGGUUCUCACGAGUGGUACACUCGUUUUCAGCUUAGGAGUAUCACAGCUAGCACCACCGCUCCU
rnacentral:sRNA from 1 species